rnacentral:rRNA from 1 species
AUUUCGGUACAGCGUCGAGGUGGAGUCAGCGGGAGGUAGAGCUACCGAUAGGACUAGGGGGUGUCACAGCCUACCGAAUCCUGACGAACUCCGAAUGCCCGUUGAUAUACUCGGCAGUGAGGCGUGGGGUGCUAAGGUCCCAUGCCGAGAGGGAAAGAACCCAGACCAUCCGCUAAGGUCCCUAAAUUCGGACUAAGUUGAA